rnacentral:rRNA from 1 species
CAGAGGUAAACGGGUGGAGUUGAACUGUGAUCUCUGUGAAUUUAGCUGGUGAACGUGGUUUGAACUUGGUCAAAUUGGUUGUUAUUUGGGGUCUGCUUAGCUGCAGGUCUCCGCCUAUGGUGGAGAUGCGCGAGGCACUUAUCAGGUGUUGCGCGCCUCAGGUGAAUCGGACCAGUUCGCCAGUGCAUUUUCACAGAGUGUUCACCACGACCGGCAUCGCUGUCCGGCUGGUAUGGUUAAACCGGUCUUGCAUUGUCCUCGUGGCUUUGCUUGGUCGGGAUGGCAGGUAGCUCUUGGGCUUGCUCGCAGUUCGCUGUGGGUUCAGGUCCUUGAGUGUAAACAGCUGACCGUAUCGGUUCUGUGCAGUAUGUCGGAGACGGCGGCUUGUGGUGUGUGCGUGCGUGCCAGUUGGCUGGCGAGUCCGGGUUUGGUUAUUAUGUUGCCUGUGUUGGCAGGCCUAAUGAUAGCUCGGAUUCGUUCGGCUGACGGUUGCGUGCGUGUCACUUUCCAGGGCCAAUAGUCUGUGGUGUUGCGGUAGACUUUCCACCUGACCCGUCUUGAAACACGGACCAAGGAGAGUAACAUGUACGCGAGUCAUUGGGCGUAACGAAACCCAAAGGCGAAGUGAAAGUAAAGGUCUGGCUUGUCUAGACUGAGGUGAGAUCCUGUCGUUUCUCACACGUGGUAUCCCCAAGUAUCGAACGGCAGGCGCAUCACCGGCCCGUCCCAUGGUGUGGUGACACUUCAGUGUUCGUCAUCGGGGCGGAGCAUGAGCGUACAUGUUGAGACCCGAAAGAUGGUGAACUAUGCUUGCGCAGGUUGAAGCCAGAGGAAACUCUGGUGGAGGACCGCAGCGAUUCUGACGUGCAAAUCGAUCGUCAGACGUGAGUAUAGGGGC